rnacentral:tRNA from 1 species
GCCUUCGUGGUGUAAUGGUAGCACACUUGGCUGGUAUUCGAGAGGUCCAGGUUCGAGACCCGGCGAGGGCA